rnacentral:rRNA from 1 species
UUGAAAGGGAAACGAUUGAAGUCAGUCGUGCUGGCGCGAAAUCAACCUUCUCGUCUUGAGAUCACAUGGCGUGGCGAGCCUCAAAACCGUCACGAAGCGUGAACUCUUGGUGAAAUGGAGCACUUUCGUGUCCGCUGGUUAACAUCAAUUUCGAACGUCAUAAAAAGGCUGGAGGGAUGUGGCUCCUUCGGGAGUGUUAUAACCUUUAGCGGAAUGUGGUGUUCGGGAUUGAGGAUUGCAACGAAUACCUUUAGGGCUGUUCCACCUGGCUUCUCUUUGGUAUCCCGGUGACGACAGCUUGCUGACGUCGUUAGGAUUCGCCUUUGAACAGGCUAGAGUGUGAGCAAAUUCGUUAAGGAUGUUGACGUA